rnacentral:misc_RNA from 1 species
AUUAGUCUCAGUCUGAAUUGUACUAUUUGUGACUUCGGAUUUUGUUUUUAAUGAACUUAUUCGGUAAUUAAAGUUACGUACUGCUUUAAUUGUUUUGAUAAAAUUAAAAUGUUAAAAUAGAUAAAAAUGGGAAUUUCAAAAUUCUGUAAAGUAACGAAAGACAAUUUGUACAUAAGAUUUAAAAAGAUGUCAGAUAUUUAUAAAGGAAAUUGUAUCCGUUUUAAUAUAUUAACAGUAAGUAUAACAUUUCUCAACUUUCAUCAAUUAAGAAAAGACACAGGAAUGGUAACUUGGCUACAGACUAUAAAGUAAAGGUCGAUUAAUGUAAAAGGAAUAACGUAAAUUUCAAACUUAUGAGUAAUGCCAUAACAUCUCACCGUUCGAGAUUGUGGGAAAGUUAAACAUUAAAUACCUAAAGCUUUUCUUUGUGAGUAAUUACGUAAAAUAAUAACAAAUACUAACGUAAGUAGGUACGCCAGUGUCCCCGUUUGUUAUCCUAUUGACCUUUUCUACGACACGACGCAGAAUAUAAAAAUGUGCAAAUAACCUACUAAGUUUGUUCAUAUUAAAACGCGUUAACUAAUUAGAAACACGAAGGAAAUUUUAAAUACUUUAAAUUGCUAAUUUUAAUAACAAUUUGUGUUGUGCCCAUACCAUAACGUUUUAAAAUGAUUAUUCCCAUUGUGCUAUAAUUUACUGAUAAAAUAUUAUUAUUAAUAAAAUCGGAAUAGAGCAAUUGCUAAGUAAUUAUAUAGAAUUAAAUGCAUUUUAUACUGAUAUUUUCUGCCUUUUCUAGUACUAUUAAAUGGAAAGUCACAUAAUUUCGUGGUAUAUUUACUUACUUAUUUCGUUUUUUUUCUUCUUUAAUUAAAUAUAUGUUAAACUCUAAGUACCUACUAUAAUAAUUUUAGUAUGUUUGGCAACGUUACCUUUAACGGAAAUAUCUAUCGCGCAUGACAGCAAGCCAUUAAACCACGGGACUGCCAUUUUCGUCGGACGUUCUUUCAAUUUUUGUCGUUUUGCGUAUAGAUUGUGUUUAUAAAAUUUAUCGAUGUGGAUAAAUUUCGUUAAUUAAGACAGUAGGUGGUGAAAUUAUUGUUAAAUUACAAUUAUUUGUCGCGUUUGAGAUAGUACAAGUGAAUAAUAAAUAAUCACGUUAUGGAGAGACGGGUAAUCGACAUAGUGGUGCUGGUAAGG